rnacentral:misc_RNA from 1 species
UGCGAAUACUGCUCGUGUGGUAGUAGGUCAGUAAUGCCGAGGGCGAGCUGCUGAACUAUAUUCGCCAGUAGACGACAGGGUGGGGCACGCCGAGCUUCCUCAAUCAAUAAACCUCCAACUGGCGACAUUCAGAUUCGGUCAGGAACUCGACUGCGUCACCGUAACAGGCAAAUGCCAGAACCCGCUGUGGCAAACUCUGUUCUCCUGCUACGAUGGAGCGCGAAAUGUCUAAGGACCAAGUAUAUCGUUGAAUCAAAUAUGCUGUAAAUAGCUUGAGAUCUUUCUGGAGAUGAGAUUUUCAAUAUUUCCGGAGUACUUUGAUGAAAUGUGUAGAAGGAACAGAAGCAUCUUGAAAAGAGAAAAUCUACAUGAGACAGAUUGGAAUCUUUCAUCGAUUGUUAUAUUUUGAGAAAUCUAAGAG